GGGCCUAUAGCUCAGUUGGUUAGAGCCGCGGACUCAUAAUCCGCUGGUCGCCGGUUCAAGUCCGGCUGGGCCCACCA
rnacentral:tRNA from 1 species